rnacentral:lncRNA from 1 species
UUUUAACACAUUUGUAAUUAAGUACCAAGAAAAAAAAAGAGAAGUACUCUAUUAUUGAAGGGGUGAAAAUGUAAUUAAGCACUAAAAGUGCUUUUGGGAGAGGAAAAGCUAAAAAUUUUAACUUCCCCGUUUCAGAAGUGCUUUUCAAAAGCACUUCUGAAAAGCUAAAAAUUUCAGCCAAAAGCAGCUUGUUCUGCACAGCUUUUCUUCCAAAAGUGCUUUUGGAGCCAGAAGUGCUUUUGAAAAGCAAUGCAGAACUGGCCCUUAAUGAUCCUUGUAUUCUAAUAGGUUAGCAUUCUUAAGUAGGUUCAAUAAGUCUUCUGUCCAUAUUUAUUUUAUGCUUGUAGAAGGCCCAUUCCGCCUGUGCUUGAUAAAGUCAAAAAAAAAUCAAAAAAAAAUAAACAAAUUAAAAUUGUCCUAAGUCCAUUUACAAAUAAUAGGCCCAAACAAAUGGCCCAAUAACAGAUCAAGCCUAACCCAACCAGGCUAAAACCCAGACAACUCAAUUAAAACCCGACCUAGUUACAAUGGCCCAAUGCCCAAACGGCCCAGGACACUUUUGAACAGAAACCCUAGGGUUUCUUUCCCUUGCGCCGUAGCCAACAGUUUCGUACUGGCCUCCAGCAUAGCCCAGCGCCACACGUGCGCCUCCGUUCUUUCAUGCUCUACGCCCACGAACGGUUUCCCCACACUCGCCACCCUCCAGCUGUACCUACAACAGACUAACAAACGAAAAUAACAAGCAGCAAUUGACAACAAAUAAUAACAAAUUACAGCAAGGAAAUUUGUACUUUUUCUUUUAUUUUUAUUUAUUUUUUCGGCUAUAAAGCCGAGGAGAAUCAAAUGUAAAAGGGGAUGGAUACGCACAUUGAAUACAAAGAAAGCAAUCAAAAUUUUAGAAGGUGAUUUCUAGUUCAAGUUUCUCUAAAUUUUUGAAUUUUCUUUCGAUUUAUUCCUUUGGGUCUUUCAUUAUUGCAUUCAAAAAAACAAAAGGGAAGUCUUACCUUGCGAAUAUGCCAUGGGUUUCCUUUUUGCUUCGUUGCAAUCGAAGCCGAAAAGGGGUUUCAAGGCUGAAAAACCAUCCCUCAAAGCUCGAACGCACUGGUUGCCAUUUAUGGAGGUAAAUCGGUGUUUGAAGGAGGGGAUUUAGGGUUUGCCAAAUAAGAAGAAAGGGGGCUAGGGUUGGUUCGGCCGAAUAGAUUCAUUUGGCUUAGUUUUAGCCUUUAUAAAGGAGCAAAAAUGGUACCGUUUUAAUCCUGUUUCAAUGGCCCCAAAACGGUGCCAUAUAGGCUAUGCCCGAUCCGACCGGAUUCGGUUACCCAGGAGGAUCCGCGUGUUCUGCUUAAAGGGAACAUUUGCGCAAUUGAUCCC